CACCGCGGUUAUACGAGAGGCCCAAGUUGAUAGACAUCGGCGUAAAGAGUGGUUAAGAGUACAACACACUAAAGCCGAAUGCCUUCACAGCUGUUAUACGCACUCGAAGGUAAGAAGCCCAAUUACGAAAGUAGCUUUAUAAACCUGAACCCACGAAAGCUAAGACA
rnacentral:rRNA from 1 species